rnacentral:rRNA from 1 species
GCAUAUCAAUAAGCGGAGGAAAAGAAACUAACAAGGAUUCCCUUAGUAACGGCGAGUGAAGAGGGAAAGGCUCAAAUUUUAAAUCUAUCAUGUUUGUACAUGAUCGAAUUGUAAUUUGAAGAAGCGUUUUCUCGUACUUUAUGCAAUCAGUAUAAGUUCUCUUGGAACAGGACAUCAUAGAGGGUGAUAAUCCCGUCUGUUACUGGUUGUGAGGUUCGUUAUGAUACGCUUUCAAAGAGUCGAGUUGUUUGGGAUUGCAGCUCCAAAUGGGUGGUAAACAUCACCUAAGGCUAAAUAUUUGCGAGAGACCGAUAGCGAACAAGUACCGUGAGGGAAAGAUGAAAAGAACUUUGAAAAGAGAGUUAAAAAGUAUGUGAAAUUGUUGAAAGGGAAACGAUUGAAGUCAGUCGUGCAGUCAUCAAUUCAGCGGUUAACAUUUUAUGUUUCCGUGUAAUUUGGUGUCUGUUGGUUAGCAUCAAUUUUGAUUGUUAUAAAAAGGUUAAGGGGAUGUGGCUCCUUCGGGAGUGUUAUAACCCUUAGCGUAAUGUAACGAUUAGGAUUGAGGUUUGCAACGAAUACCUUUUAGGGCAGUUUCACCUGGCCUCUCGUGGAAUUAUAGAUAGUUAAGAGCAUGCUCUUACUGUCUAUGAUUCUACGAAAAGGUUGGAGUGUAAAACUAAUUCGUUAAGGAUGUUGACGUA